rnacentral:rRNA from 1 species
CGGAGGACAAGAAACUAAACAGGAUCCCCAUAGUAAUGGCGAAUGAACCGGGAUAAACUCAGCAUGGAAAUUGGGGCCUUUGGCUUUGACUUGUAAUCUGGUGAGGCAUUGCCAACAGAGGCGCAUAUGUAAGUCUCUUGGAAAAGAGCAUCAACGAAGGUGAGAGUCCUGAUUGUCAUGUGCAGCCCCCCUGUGCACGGUGUGCCUUCUAAGAGUCACGUUCCUUGGGAUUGGAGCGCAAAUUGGGUGGUAACUUUCAUCUGAAGUUAAACAAUGGUUUGGGACCGAUAGGAAACAAGUACCAUGAGGGAAAGGUGAAAAGGACUUUGGAAAGAGAGUUAAAAGUGCCUGAAAUUGCUGAAGGGGAAGCGAAUGGAACCAGUGGUGCUGGGUGAGAUUGUCACAUGCUGCAAGGAUUGGUUGCUGCCACAACGCAAGUGUGCUGGCAAUUUGUGAACUGCUAGUGUGUGGUGUGUCUUACCUAGUGGGUCAUUGUGGGUUUAUGCAUUAAGAUAAAUCAAAGCAAGCGGGAGCAAGUUUACGAGUUUGUGAAUGUGUGUUGUUAUGCUUGUGCGUAAGCUUUAGUGUUUGUCUGGCUGCAGGGCUGUCCAUCCUCAAGCUUUGCUGUGGUUGCGAUGAGCAUAACCUUCUGCAC